rnacentral:rRNA from 1 species
AACGAACGCUGGCGGCAUGCCUAACACAUGCAAGUCGAACGCUCCGCAAGGGGAGUGGCGAACGGGUGAGUAACGCGUGGGAACCUGCCCAGUAGUUGGGGAUAACCGCGGGAAACUGCGGCUAAUACCGAAUACGCCCUAAGGGGAAAGAUUUAUCGCUAUUGGAGGGGCCCGCGUCGGAUUAGCUGGUUGGUGAGGUAACGGCUCACCAAGGCGACGAUCCGUAGCUGGUCUGAGAGGANGAUCAGCCACACUGGGACUUAGACACGGCCCAGACUCCUACGGGAGGCAGCAGUGGGGAAGUAUUGGACAAUGGGGGCGAACCCUCGAUCCAGCAAUGCCG